ensembl:lncRNA
AUGCCCAGCACUGGAUCCACAUGUAUCAACUCUGAGCUGAGGGGAGGGAUUUCCUCCCCAGACUUGCUCGCAGCACCAGCUCAUGCAGCCCAGAAGGUGCUGGAUUUCUUUGAUGUAAGGACAUGCUGCUGGUUUGUGCCCACGUUGGUGUCCAUUAUAACCUCCAAUUCAUCCUCUGCUGAGCUGCUUUCCCCCCGGCUCUGUGACCUCGCAGCACAGAUGGCCCACCAGUGCAUGUCUUUAGCAGGCACUUUGAAGGCAACCUCUGAAAGGAGACAACAGUCCUGAGAAGCUCUUUAGCCUAGCUUCAGAAAAUCACAAGAUUGCAGAAGUUGGAGUGGAGCUCCAUUCCAAGAGAUGAGAAUCCAACCCCUCUGCUAAAGUAGGUUCCCUACAGUAGGUCACACAGGUAGAUGUCCAGACAGGUCUUGAAUAUCUCCAUAGCAAGAGGCUCCACAACCUCUCUGAGCAACGUAUUCCAGUGCUCUGUCACUUUUAUGAUAGAUAAGUUAUUCCACAUGUUAGUACAGAAUUCCCUAUGUUCAAGUUUUAGGCCAUUACUCCUCAUUCUGUUGCUACCACCGAGAUGAACCUGGCCUCAUCCAUUUGCCUCCCACCUCCCUAAAAGGAGGGAUACCCUCUCAGUCUUCUUUUCCCCAGGCUGAGAAGACCCAGAUCCUAUCUGUUAUUUUAGAAACUCAAGUUCGAGGGCAUUCUUUUUAAAAGAUUAGAGAAAAAAGAUGUUGCUUUCUCACAAGAGUUGAGGAAAGCAACGCUACAGGCAAACUGGGAUAAUAGAAAGAGCAGGUAUUUCUGAGGAGUUCUCAGCCUGGAAGACAGCACUUUUGUUAUCUUGCCUUCAGUAUCACAUGAAUAAGGACUAAGAUGCUUAUGAUCAUCAGUUCAUUUGAGCAAGACUUUACAGUUUGAAUUUAUCUGUUUGAUUUGAGUACUUUAGUGAUCGUCAUAUGAUUGGAAAUGUCAUGCUUUCCUACCACAGAUGAAAAUGGUCAAAAUGUCUGUCUCCGGGUGAGUAAGAUGUGUUUCUUUUCAUCAAAUUACUAUGGUAUUUGCUUUUUUUUCCAACUAUAGUUGGGAUAUUGAUGGAACUCACUGCACGUUAACUAAAAGUGAAGGGAACUACAAGCUAGAGAAGCAUCAAAAUACAGUACUGUAAAGGUUUUUAAUUCAACGUAAGAUACCAAUGAACUACAUAGCUAAUAUGUUUUUUCAUUUGGUUUGUAAUCUGAAUUAUCUCCAGGGAGAAUUUGUACAAGGCACUCUGUUCCUCCUUUUCCAUAAAAGUCACCCAUAAGAUAGCAUUACUAAAUUGUGAUAUUUAAAAUGCAGGUGAAUAAUUUUCUCUUAGAAGUUGAUUUACUCAGCUGAACUGAACUGAAACUGAACUGAAACAUCAAAAAAAGGAAUAACAUAUUAUUGUAAAAAUAAUUGUUACGCUUAGCCGAGGGGAAUUACUCAGAGGCUUCGUUAAGUAGACUACUAAUUCUCUUUUUUUCCUCUUGCUAAGGAUGCGUAAUAAAAGUUUCAGAAGGAAUGCUUUCCUUACACACUGCUGCACAAUGGGGAAGUGGGAAAAAAUACAGCAAUUGUGUUCAUAGAACUACUGCUGUUCAACUGAGAGAGUAGCUUGAAGCUUACCAAAUGUAAGAUGAAGGCCUGAUAUUACUGCUUUUCCAGAAAAUGUGAGAGACACCGAGGAGAGGAAAUUAAACCUAAUUCAGACUCAGAGUGUAUUUAUCUCUUCACGUCAUCAUCUUGUGUUUCACCGUUUUAUAUAGAAUGCCAGAUUUCUAGCCAUGUUUCAGAAGUCUCGCAUUAUCCCAGGCCACAUUUAGCUGUGCAAACUGUUCCUCCAUUCACAGAAUAAUAGAAUGGCUUGCAUUGGAAGGGACCUCAAGGCCCAUCCAAUUCCAACCCUCUGCCAGGAGCAGGGCUGCCAAGCACUGAAUCAGGCUGCUCAGGGCCCCAGUUGAUUGUGUCCAGGUCCCACUGGAUGGCAUCCCUUCUUACAUCACUCAGCUUCGUGCCAUCAGAAAACUUGCUGAGGGUGCACUCAGUCCCACUGUCUUUGUCAUUGAUAAAGGUGUUUAAGAUCAUUGGUCACAGGACGGAUCCCUGAGGACUUGUAACUUCAGUUCCUGUAACUUCAGUUAGUAUUUUAAAAUAGAGGAGUGAACUGGUAUGCAGGCUCCCAUGCUCUUUCCUAGACAUCUCAUCAUUGUUAUUAAGCACUGCUGUUUUUCAUUUGCAUUUUCAUUUGCUGCAUUAGGAAGUAGGUAAUUAGAGCACCAACGUUCUUUCUGUCACAAAUUCUAAAUGAAAAGGUUAUGAGGAAAUUUUUGCUCUUCUCUGAUGAAACCAUUUUAUAAGCUCCAUUGUGGCAGGUGUGCUGUUGAGUUUAGUGUGAGAAGGCAGAAAAAGGCAUAUCUGACCUUUCAGCUUUCCCUUAGAUAGCUGAAACUAGCCCUCUGUUGCAGUUACUAUCAGUUAAAUGGGAAACAAUACUGAUUUGGGGAAAACGAUACAAUAUAUAUAAGAAUUUAUACUCAGGAAAAUUUGUGGAGCUUGGUAUCUAUGGCUUUUGAUUGCAAAUUAAAAAUCCCAAGAUAUUUUCUUAUACUUUCUGUAUUUCUGCAUGUAUUUUCAGGUAUAGGAAGUGCAAAAUGAGGAAAAGUGCGGAUUCAUAAAAGUGGAUUUGUAUACAAUUUUGCCUAUGUUUUCUUUUUAAAGUCAUCCAUAAUAUAACAUCGCCUUUUGAUAUUUCUAAGUAAUCUUUUUCCUUGGUUCAACUGCUAUAGCUUGACAUUUGUUUCAAACAAAAGCUGAGGCCUCUGCCUUAUUGCUUUAUGUGCAUGAGCUCCAUCGAAAAUAAUGUUAUUACUAAGGGAACAGUACCAGAGAAUUGUUUCUUGGAACUGAAUCCACAAGGGAAAUGGCACAUAGCUGUUGCCUAUCCUUGUAACAGCAAUAGCCUGUAACACACUUGCAG